rnacentral:rRNA from 1 species
CUCUUGGGUAGUCUCAAGUAACCUCUGCCCUAUGAAUAAAUUAAAUGGCCGCAGUACUUUGACUGUGCAAAGGUAGCAUAAUCAUUUGUCUUUUAAUUGGAGGCUGGAAUGAAAGAGGCGACGAAAUUUAGACUCUUAGGUUAUAAGAUAAAAUUAACAUAAAGAUCAAAAGGUCUUUAUAAAUCAAAGGGACGAUAAGACCCUAUAAAACUUUACUAUAAAGUAAGUUAUUUAGUUAAAUUUAAAGGUUUAUAGUUUAGCUGGGGCGGCUUAUAUAAAAACAAUUAUAAUAUAAAUAUAUUUUAUAAAGUUUUAGAACUCCUUUAGGAAAUGAGUAAGUUACUUUAGGGAUAACAGCAUAAUUCCCUCAGAGAGUCCUUAUUGGAGGGGGAGCUUAUGACCUCGAUGUUGAAUUGGGGUGU